rnacentral:rRNA from 1 species
GUGAACGCUGGCGGUAGGCCUAACACAUGCCAGUCGAACGGCAGCACAGUAAGAGCUUGCUCUUACGGGUGGCGAGUGGCGGACGGGUGAGGAAUACAUCGGAAUCUACUUUUUCGUGGGGGAUAACGUAGGGAAACUUACGCUAAUACCGCAUACGACCUACGGGUGAAAGCAGGGGAUCUUCGGACCUUGCGCGAUUGAAUGAGCCGAUGUCGGAUUAGCUAGUUGGCGGGGUAAAGGCCCACCAAGGCGACGAUCCGUAGCUGGUCUGAGAGGAUGAUCAGCCACACUGGAACUGAGACACGGUCCAGACUCCUACGGGAGGCAGCAGUGGGGAAUAUUGGACAAUGGGCGCAAGCCUGAUCCAGCCAUACCGCGUGGGUGAAGAAGGCCUUCGGGUUGUAAAGCCCUUUUGUUGGGAAAGAAAAGCAGCAGGUUAAUACCCCGCUGUUCUGACGGUACCCAAAGAACAAGCACCGGCUAACUUCGUG